UACGGAGGGGGUUAGCGUUGUUCGGAAUUACUGGGCGUAAAGCGCGCGUAGGCGGACUGGAAAGUUGGGGGUGAAAUCCCGGGGCUCAACCCCGGAACGGCCUCCAAAACUAUCAGUCUAGAGUUCGAGAGAGGUGAGUGGAAUUCCGAGUGUAGAGGUGAAAUUCGUAGAUAUUCGGAGGAACACCAGUGGCGAAGGCGGCUCACUGGCUCGAUACUGACGCUGAGGUGCGAAAGCGUGGGGAGCAAACAGC
rnacentral:rRNA from 1 species